rnacentral:rRNA from 1 species
UUUGAUCAUGGCUCAGAAUGAACGCUGGCGGCGUGCCUAACACAUGCAAGUCGAGCGAGAAAGUCUCUUCGGAGAUAAGUACAGCGGCGGACGGGUGAGUAACGCGUGAGAAUUUACCCUUUAGUGAAGAAUACCUCUGAGAAAUCAGGGUUAAUACUGCAUACGUCCCUACGGGGAGAAAGGUGGCCUCUUUGCUGCCGCUAAAGGAUAAGCUUGCGUACUAUUAGCUAGUUGGUGAGGUAAAGGCUCACCAAGGCGAUGAUGGUUAGCCGGCCUGAGAGGGUGUACGGCCACACUGGAACUUAGACACGGUCCAGACUCCUACGGGAGGCAGCAGUGAGGAAUAUUGCGCAAUGGGCGAAAGCCUGACGCAGCGACGCCGCGUGGAGGAUGAAGGUCUUCGGAUUGUAAACUCCUGUUAAGUGGGAAGAAAAGACCUAUUUCUAAUACAGAUAGGGGAUGACGGUACCAUUAGAGAAAGCACCGGCUAACUUCGUGC